UUUUGGAACGACGAAUCCAAGAUGUCUGCGCCCUUGAUGUCAACAUCGAGUAGCGAAGAAGAGGAAAUUACUGUCAGACCUCAUUCUAAACUCCGUAAAAAGGAUUAUAAACAAUGCUACAUGCAUCUCGCGUCCAUAAAGAAAGAAGAGACGAAGGAUUUUACACACACACGAUGGGAUGCAUACAGAAAUAGCGUCAAACGGUGGCUUGGUUUGCAUGGUGAGAAUCAGAGAAUAGCCGAAACAUACAAACAUUGUCUAGAAAUUGAAUUUGUUCGGGAAAUGUUCCCGAAGACGCUGGAUUUCAUUCCACUUGCUACAGGGGUUUCAUUGACAAAAAGCGCCUGGAUGCGGCAGAGAAACGAGUCAUACAGCAUCCUGAAAUUCAAGAUGCUCACAAAGACCAGUCUGUCAUCGAGUAGUAGUACCUCAACAACUGAAUGUCCUAAAAAGAAACGUAGGUCCAUGACGGGCCAGUAGCUUGUGCAGGUCCUGUGCUUUCUGCCUUGUGCAUCAUUUAUAAGAAAACGGACAAGUACAUUACUGUGGCAGGAAAACGAAAGAAGGACCAUCUUUCACAGGCAGAAACGUGGUGUGCAGGCCAGUAGCUGAAAGCUGCUGAAAUGAAGGAAGACACUAGCAUUCCUGUGCAUAUUCAACACAAAGACUGCGUUUCUCUGGAGGUGCGAUACCACAAGUCCUGUUGCAGACAGUACACCAGGUUCUUGACGAAGUCUACUGGAACAGUAACUGGGACCUCAGAAGAACAAAAUGAGCCAACCUUCGAUGUCGGCUACAAGAUCUUCUGUACAAGCGCAACAUCAGUGAGCUGGUUUUUGUUGAGACACUGUCUGCAGAUAAGCUGAUCAACAGGCUCCCUCAUCCAUCAGGUACAGAAACAAGAGUCAACUGAGGUAACUAGCCAAAGUGACGGUGAAAACACGUCAAGUAAAACAGCCGGUCCUCAAAGACAAACUUCAGUGGGCUCUAUCAAUACUACAGAGGACACAAGGACACAAUAUAGUGCAGCAUUAAUAUUAAAGAUGCUCCUAUGUGACUCUUCCAGUAUGACAUGUCCAUUGCCACCCACAUCAGAUGAUUUAAAUGCGAGUGAAGCAAAAUCUGUUGUGCCACUCGAACUGUACAAUCUAAUUUCCUGGAUUAUUGGUGCAACUGAGGAACCAACACUGGCCCAUUAGGUUGAUAUUACAGAUGAUUUGAGCCUAAAAGUGAUAUCUAUUUGUCAAGACAUUGUGUAUCUUGCAAAAAGGGAGUUUCCUCAUUCAAAGCACCCCCUUGCCUCCCUAUCAAACAGUAUCACCAGUCUACAAAGCAAGGACCAAAGAAAUUUUCAUCAUGAAAGUGUUCCAUUACAGGUAGACACAUACAAGUUGAACACAAUGUCUGCUGCACAAACUGAACUGGCAUAUGUUUUUUUUUAAGGUCCAUAGAUGCUGAAAGAUGCACAAUCCCAAGCUGGACAGGUUUCCAUACAUUGCUUCAAGGAAAACAAUGGAGUCGUUGGAUUCUGGUUGCUCUGCACAGGGGCUGUGCAACACUGGCACCUUUUUAGCCUGACCACAAUAUUACGCUAAUGCUACCACAAGCACACUAAUUAGACAAGUCAUUCUGUCACAUCACCUCCCCCUUUUCCAGGCAGGGAACUGACCAGGUAGACGGCUUUUAGAUUCUGGUUGUGCUUUACCACAAAAUCUGAUGGCUGCAGGGAACAGUACCUCUGUGGAGUACUGGGUUUCACUUGGUAGCUCAGGAAUGAGAUUGUCUCUCUGCACCAGCAUCUCCUUGGGCCAGGACAGCAUCUCCUUGGCCAAUUUCUACUGCAAAAGCAUCCACUUGGACAAUGAAUCUUCUCCUAAAAUCUGGACUCUUUGAAAUAGGGCUAGAAUACAUCUUCUUCAUUAAUGUUUGACAGCCACUUCACAUUCCUCAGUCCACUGUAUCAGGUUGCUUGUGGUUUUGCUUAGUAGGUUGGCCAGCGGAACUGAAAAAGUCCCACUAAGUAACAUGCAUAGUAAAAGAAAAACGCUAUUGUAAAUUAUUAUAUUUCUGUUCGUGGACUUGUUUAAACUAAGUGUGUG